GGAGUUAGCCGGUGCUUCUUCUGUGAGUGAUGUCCUUCCUGCCGGUUAUUGACCCGCAGGCCUUCUUCCUCACUGAAAGUGCUUUACAACCCGAAGGCCUUCUUCACACACGCGGCAUGGCUGGAUCAGGGUUGCCCCCAUUGUCCAAUAUUCCCCACUGCUGCCUCCCGUAGGAGUCUGGGCCGUGUCUCAGUCCCAGUGUGGCUGAUCAUCCUCUCAGACCAGCUACGGAUCGUCGCCUUGGUGAGCCGUUACCUCACCAACCAGCUAAUCCGACAUAGGCUCAUCCGAUAGCGCGAGGCCCGAAGGUCCCCCGCUUUCCCCCGUAGGGCGUAUGCGGUAUUAGCCUGGGUUUCCCCAGGUUAUCCCCCACUACCGGGCAGAUUCCUAUGCAUUACUCACCCGUCCGCCGCUCGCCACCAGGGAGCAAGCUCCCCGUGCUGCCGCUCGACUUGCAUGUGUAGCUGCGCCAGCGUCACUCUGAGCAGAUACGAACCCGUACGA
rnacentral:rRNA from 1 species